rnacentral:rRNA from 1 species
UACGUAGGUGGCAAGCGUUGUCCGGAAUUAUUGGGCGUAAAGCGCGCGCAGGCGGCCUCUUAAGUCUGAUGUGAAAGCCCCCGGCUCAACCGGGGAGGGCCAUUGGAAACUGGGAGGCUUGAGUAUAGGAGAGAAGAGUGGAAUUCCACGUGUAGCGGUGAAAUGCGUAGAGAUGUGGAGGAACACCAGUGGCGAAGGCGACUCUUUGGCCUAUAACUGACGCUGAGGCGCGAAAGCGUGGGGAGCAACAGG